rnacentral:rRNA from 1 species
UAGUGACCUGCGGAGGAUCAUUACAAGUGAGGCUACCGAACGUUGGAAACAGCGGUUAGGAGCUUACACCCACCCGUGUUUACAUACUAUUGUUGCUUUGGCGGGCCGUGGCCUCCACUACGGGCUCUGCUCGUGUGUGCCCGCCAGAGGACCAAACUCUGAAUGUUAGUGAUGUCUGAGUACUAUCUAAUAGUUAAAACUUUCAACAACGGAUCUCUUGGUUCUGGCAUCGAUGAAGAACGCAGCGAAAUGCGAUAAGUAAUGUGAAUUGCAGAAUUCAGUGAAUCAUCGAAUCUUUGAACGCACAUUGCGCCCUGUGGUAUUCCGCAGGGCAUGCCUGUUCGAGCGUCAUUUAACCACUCACGCCUAGCGUGGUAUUGGGGCACGCGGUCUCGCGGCCCUCAAAAUUAGUGGCGGCGCCGGUGGGCUCUAAGCGUAGUACAUACUCCCGCUAUAGAGUUCCCCCGGUGGCUCGCCAGAACCCCCAAUUUUUUACAGGUUGACCUCGGAUCAGGUAGGGAUACCCGCUGAACUUAAGCAUAUCAAA